CAUACAUAUAUCGAUAAAAAUAUGAUCUGCUUAGUUAAUUAAAGAAAUAAAAACCUAUAUUUUAUAAUAUAUAUAUGUAUAUUCUUUUCUGUAUAAAAUCUGCUAAAAAUAAAAUUGAGAGUUAUAUUUGCAUGAUUCUGUCUCUUAUUAGGCAAGCUUAAUGGCACAACAUUGAGUCUGUAGAACUAUAUAAUAAAUAAUAAGAUGUAUAAAUCAAUAAAAUGUAACAUUAAUACUUCGAUCGUACACAAAUUUUAAAUUAGGCAAACAUCAAGAUUCUCUUCUCUGUGUUAAAAGAUAAAUUAAAACGGGAGAGGGGGAUACGAGUGUAGGAAUACGGUCAAAUGUGAAUGCGGAGUUGAUCGAAAAUAGUGAAGAGAGUAAUCGAAAAAUUGUCGAUGAAGUUAUAAAAGUGGGUUCCGUGGCCUUUCGCCGUCUCUCUCUUAUGUCCCCCUCGUGUCCCAAGUUACUAAAAAAAAUUAGACUCGGGGUCGCGCCAGCCCCACGAACAACAAUACAUUAUUUAUAUAUCGUUCCGAUAGUACUGUGUUAGCGCACGCGCAUCCUGUUUUCAGAAUAAUUUCAAAAUAAAUUUAAUUAAU